rnacentral:tRNA from 1 species
CGGAGUAGUAAAUCGAGGAUACGAGUUCUAUUCCAAUAUUCAUCACUGACAUGGGGUGUCGGGGGUCGGAGGUUCAAAUCCUCUCGUGCCGACCA